rnacentral:rRNA from 1 species
AGGACGAACGCUGGCGGCGUGCUUAACACAUGCAAGUCGAACGGAAAGGCCCUUCGGGGUACUCGAGUGGCGAACGGGUGAGUAACACGUGGGUGAUCUGCCCCGCACUUUGGGAUAAGCCUGGGAAACUGGGUCUAAUACCGAAUAGGACCAUGGGAUGCAUGUCCUGUGGUGGAAAGCUUUUGCGGUGUGGGAUGGGCCCGCGGCCUAUCAGCUUGUUGGUGGGGUUAAGGCCUACCAAGGCGACGACGGGUAGCCGGCCUGAGAGGGUGUCCGGCCACACUGGGACUGAGAUACGGCCCAGACUCCUACGGGAGGCAGCAGUGGGGAAUAUUGCACAAUGGGCGCAAGCCUGAUGCAGCGACGCCGCGUGGGGGAUGACGGCCUUCGGUUGUAAACCUCUUUCAGUAGGGACGAAGCGCAAGUGACGGUACCUACAGAAGAAGCACCGGCCAACUACGCGCCAGCAGCCGC